GAUGAACGCUGGCGGCGUGCCUAAUACAUGCAAGUCGAGCGAACAGACGAGGAGCUUGCUCCUCUGACGUUAGCGGCGGACGGGUGAGUAACACGUGGAUAACCUACCUAUAAGACUGGGAUAACUUCGGGAAACCGGAGCUAAUACCGGAUAAUAUAUUGAACCGCAUGGUUCAAUAGUGAAAGACGGUUUUGCUGUCACUUAUAGAUGGAUCCGCGCCGCAUUAGCUAGUUGGUAAGGUAACGGGUUACCAAGGCAACGAUGCGUAGCCGACCUGAGAGGGUGAUCGCCCACACUGGAACUGGGACACGGUCCAGACUCCUGCGGGAGGCAGCAGUAGGGAAUCUUCCGCAAUGGGCGAAAGCCUGACGGAGCAACGCCGCGUGAGUGAUGAAGGUCUUCGGAUCGUAAAACUCUGUUAUUAGGGAAGAACAAAUGUGUAAGUAACUAUGCACGUCUUGACGGUACCUAAUCAGAAAGCCACGGCUAACUACGUG
rnacentral:rRNA from 1 species